GUGGGGAAUUUUGGACAAUGGGCGCAAGCCUGAUCCAGCCAUGCCGCGUGCGGGAAGAAGGCCUUCGGGUUGUAAACCGCUUUUAUCAGGGAAGAAAAGGUUCUGGCUAAUACCUGGGACUCAUGACGGUACCUGAAGAAUAAGCACCGGCUAACUACGUGCCAGCAGCCGCGGUAAUACGUAGGGUGCAAGCGUUAAUCGGAAUUACUGGGCGUAAAGCGUGCGCAGGCGGUUAUGCAAGACAGAGGUGAAAUCCCCGGGCUCAACCUGGGAACUGCCUUUGUGACUGCAUGGCUAGAGUACGGUAGAGGGGGAUGGAAUUCCGCGUGUAGCAGUGAAAUGCGUAGAUAUGCGGAGGAACACCGAUGGCGAAGGCAAUCCCCUGGACCUGUACUGACGCUCAUGCACGAAAGCGUGGGGAGCAA
rnacentral:rRNA from 1 species